CAUCAGUGAGGGACAUGCGCAGUGAGUGCCUCCCGUCUCUUCUACCCGAUCCCCCCCCUCCCCCCCAAAGCAGAGAGACCCCAGCAGCAGCAGCAGCUGAUGAUGAAGAGAGAGGCAGUGGCAGAGGGGGGGCACCUUUUAUUUCUAUUUUUAAAGGGACAGGACACUAAUUUUACCCCACUUCAACCUUGAAUUGAGGGGGGGUGGGGGGAAGGCGGCUGAGUUCCUUCCCCCACCCUCCAGCCCUGAGACCUGAGAGGGGGAUUGAGCCAGAGAGAGAAGGAGACGGAGUUUCUUCUUCUUCGAAAACCCCCAUCUACGACUCCUACCCCUUCACCCCUCCAGUAGCCUCCCUCCCGAGCCCUCUCCACCCUCCUCUUUGGCCGUGAGAGAGGAGAGAAAGAGACCAAAAGCCUCUUAGCAACACAGACCCUUCUCUGCUGCUGUUGCUGCUGUUGCUGCUGCUGCUGCUACUGCUGCUGCUUGGCCCUGGCUGGAGACAUCUCACUACACCCAGGAGCAGCCACUUCCCCAGCUCUCCUCCUCCUUCGCCGCCUCCUCCUCCUCCUCCACUCCCCCCUUUAUUACCCUUUGUGUCAUCCUCCACGGCUCCAGGGAAGGCACUCAAAAGUGGGGGGCAGGAAAGACAAUUAUCAACUUUCCAGUUUUCUAUGGAUAUGAAGAUUUACUCCUAGUCAUCAGUGGGACCCAAUGAAGUCAGCCAGAAAACCUAUAUCCAACCUAUGUACCUUUGCAAACUUGUCUGGAUUUUGAAUGUAUGUGCAAAACAGAUUGUACUUAGCUAUUAUUCAUUAAACAUCACUUGAGUGUC